rfam:Triticum aestivum genome assembly, contig: Triticum_aestivum_CS42_TGACv1_scaffold_080799_1DS
UAGGUACUCCCUCCGUCCGAAAAUAUUUGUUCUCAAAAUGGAUAAAUUGGAUGUAUUUAUAACUAAAAUAAGUCUAGAUACAUCCAUUUCUAGGACAAGUAUUUCCGGACGGAGGGGGUAUUAA